AGGUGACUUUACAAGCGACAUCGUAUUACUCGACUGUCCAUGAAACGUAGAAGGAAACAAACAAUCUUGUUUAGAAUAGCUGACUCACCGGGAUCCCCAUUUUCGAGGGAAAUAUUUUGGAAAUAAUGGAUAAAUUUAGCAAUCCAUGAUUAGGAUGUACAAAGAAAUCGUGAAUGGUGGUCAGCCGGAGAAUUAUAUAUAUAAGGCGACUUCUAUCAAAGCAGAUCAGCAUACACUUCCAGUUCCUAGUUCUUGUGCAAAGAAGUAAGACAACAGUCCAUCCCAAUGAAAUCUUCCUGCUUCGCUUUGUUGGUCGCCUGUUUGUUGAUCGCGACAGCUCAGGCCACGUGGUACGGACCCUAUGGGCGUGGAGGAUGGGGAGGUAACUACUACGGAGGAUAUGGUAUGGGUGGUCUCGGAGGCGGAUAUCUAGGUGGCGGAUACUACGGGGGCGGAAUGAUCGGUGGUGGAUAUUAUGGAGGAAUGGGAAAUGGAUUCCUUGGCUUUGGGCGCGGAGGUUACGGCAAGAGAGGAUAUUAUUAAAUGUUAUUGACAUAUGAAACCUGAUUGAAAUCCAACAAGACUUACGUAAAAAAAAAAAAAUAAAUAAAAAAUGAAUAAAAACACAUUUGAGCAAAACAUUCA